AGGGACCUGUAGGCAGGUGGAGAGGGGAUGGGGGAGGUCUCAGGUCCUCUUGCUCACCCAUCAGCUGUGUAGUGUCUGAAGUGAUUAAGGAGCUUGGGGAGGCCUCCCAGGCUGGUCUGCUCCACUGGCCCUCAGAAAGACUUGUCGCCUCGCCGAGCCUCAGUGUUCUCAUCUGAAGAAUAGAGUGGGCAAGGCCUUUCUCCUACACACUCAGAGCCCUGAAUGGGAAGAAAUGGGUUCCAUGUGCAGCAAGCCAGGAGAGAUUUAGGCAACGAGAACCUCCAGUUCUGUCUUAGGGUUCCCAGCUUUCUCCUUGUCCUGAGGGAGCCGCUGAGCCUGUGGGAGAUGAGGGGUGCCCAUUCCCCAGUGCUUCUCACCCUCCCCCACCUGCCCUCCUGGGGUACCUUUGUCUGCCACUUGCAUCCUAUUGGAAGCUGUCCCCAAGUGCGUGUUAGGCAGGUGGCAGGUGCUGGAGCAGAGUGCACCACCCUCCGGCGAUCACUGUGAGUUGGGGUAAGAGUGGGGUGUUCCUGCCAGCCCCAGGAGAGGGGAAAGCAAGCCCCCGUCCACCCUUGUGGGUCUCUGCUCCUGGAAAAGGUGCUCUAGCAGGCUCAUCUGUGUGAGUCACUGUCUUCCAUGUGGGGCAUUUUCCUGACACUAGAGAUAAAGAAACCAGGGCUCAGGGAGUCUCAGUUGCACUUUGGAUAAGUGAUAGAGCUAGGAUUGGAACCUGGAUAUCUUUGACUCUGAAAUCUCUGCUCUACCCAUUGUGAUAUCCAGCCUUCCCAAGGCGGGCUGUGCUGAAGAAGCCUUGGUGAUAUGGGUGCAAAUGCCAAAAACAUGGAAUGCUGGAAGCCAAGCUUGCACAUUCUAGGCAGCCAUUUGGAAGAUUCUUCUCUGCGCAUGACCAGCUGAAAAGGAAAAACCCCGAAACAUUGGCACUGUGAUUUCUCCAUGUGAACAGUUUAGUUCGCCGAGGUGGACAUGCCUCAUUCAUGCUUAUGGAGUGACCGACCAGCCUUUAGUGACACCCCCUGAAAUGUGAGUCAUCCAUGGGUCACUAGUCAUUGGAGAAGAGCCCCUUAUACAAAACUUGGAGCUCAGACCACAAACAACAACAACAAUCCAAAAAAUAAAAAAAUGAAAA
ensembl:lncRNA LINC00592 long intergenic non-protein coding RNA 592